UCUUGGCUUCAGGAUAUUUCCUUUUAUUAAUGAAUAAUGUUUAACCUGAGGAUUUUUUUUUUUUUUUGCCCAGGUGCAACUUCAAACACUUAGUGAGGCCUCCAUAUUUUAUAGCUGGUUGUGUAGGAUCCAUGGUAUUAGUCUGUCAGAAUUCCAAGUGAUGACAGCUUCAGAGCUCCAUGAAUUUGCAAGGCCAUUCUGAAGGAAUUCUGAAUGAAGAGCAGGGGCUUAGGGAUGCCAGUUCCUGUGGUGGUAGAGUGUGUCUUCUUGCACCAGCAACAGUCCUCACUGUCACUACCUAAUGGAUAGAAGUAACAGCAAGCUUAACUCUUCCAUGUGGCUCUGUCCCUCCUCCCUGCCUGUGAGUACAGCUCUUACACCCUGGUCUAGCUCAACUAUGACCACCUAAUCCAUUGUUAAACAAAAUUCAGUACACUUUUGUGUAAGUAUGCAUUGUUUCUGUUAAGCUGGACUAACUACUGUUUUCUAGCAUCAUAACAUUAGAAUGUGACAGUACUCUGAAUCAUCCUUCUUCAGCUGUCCAACAAGCCUGCAACAAGACUGAAGAAAGAAGUAAUCAUGAGACAACUUAGUUAGCAAAAUACCAUCCAAGUAUUUCCACACACUAAAGGAAUACCCAGACACCAGGGAGCACAGUUUUUGAGAGUAGUAUGAAGCAGAUAGAACAUACUUCCUUUUUACCUUUGCUCUCAUGGAGGCAUUUUGUCUCAAAGAGCUUGACAUGAUGCUUCUGAAAUGUGUUUCCAUUUUUUUACCACCUCAGUGUGAAUAACAUACAUUUCUUGUCUGCCGUGAACUGUUAAAAAUCCGACAUUUCACACAGUCUUCUAGUGUUUCAUGGCCUCAAGACAGUCUUGCCCAUUUAACCUGCCUGGAUCAUGCUGUAGUAGUAUUCCAGGAGUAUUUAUUUCAUUUCACUAUACCUGUAAGUACAUGACCGCUAUGCUACCUAACUUUAACUAGUAAAAUAAUGAAAGCAUGCCAUUUACAGUAUUUUGAAUUCUGAUGUUAAACAUCAGUGUUACAAAGGAUGUGGUUCGCAGUCCCUUACCUUGUAUCCCAAGUGUGAAUUUUAAGAAAAAUUGUUGAAACAUUCAAAUAUUCAAAGUUAAUGAAAAAAAAAACCAACUAAAACCAACUUCACUGAAGAUUGUAUCUGAAGAAAGAUAAAAUGGAAACCUGUAUUUGGCCUUCUAAUUGCAAAAUGUGUUUUAGCAGAUUUGGCAGCCCAAAAUGCAGGCUGAGGACAUUAAGUCUUGAUAAAUCAACUUGCAGUUGUGGCUGCAGUUUGUAGACAUUUUUCAUUUGGACAAACAUUUGUGACAAAAGCUGAUUGUUCUACAUGAAAAAUAAUGUUGUUACGGCAUAGCCUUAUAAAAACCUGUUAUGAAAUCCUGGCUGAUGUGGAGGUAGUGGCAGAACUAUUGAUUCCAGUAGAGCCGGG
rnacentral:lncRNA from 1 species